rnacentral:rRNA from 1 species
GAUGAACGCUGGCGGCGUGCCUAAUACAUGCAAGUCGAGCGAACAGACGAGGAGCUUGCUCCUCUGACGUUAGCGGCGGACGGGUGAGUAACACGUGGAUAACCUACCUAUAAGACUGGGAUAACUUCGGGAAACCGGAGCUAAUACCGGAUAAUAUAUUUAACCGCAUGGUUCAAUAGUGAAAGACGGUUUUGCUUUCACUUAUAGAUGUAUCCGCGCCGCAUUAGCUAGUUGGUAAGGUAACGGCUUACCAAGGCAACGAUGCGUAGCCGACCUGAGAGGGUGAUCGGCCACACUGGAACUGAGACACGGUCCAGACUCCUACGGGAGGCAGCAGUAGGGAAUCUUCCGCAAUGGGCGAAAGCCUGACGGAGCAACGCCGCGUGAGUGAUGAAGGUCUUCGGAUCGUAAAACUCUGUUAUUAGGGAAGAACAAAUGUGUAAGUAACUAUGCACGUCUUGACGGUACCUAAUCAGAAAGCCACGGCUAACUACGUG